rnacentral:rRNA from 1 species
AGCAUAAUCAUUUGCCUUUUAAUUGGAGGCUUGUAUGAACGGACACACGAAAGCUCAUCUUUUUUCAGUGGGACUUAAAAAUUAUCCUUCAAGUGAAGAGACUUGAAUAAUAUAAAAAGACGAAAAGACCCUAUGGAGCUUUACUUAAAUUAUUAGCAAAUAAAAUAAAGAAAGCUUCCCCCCUAAUAAAAAAGUUUGGUUGGGGCGACUGAGGAGCACACAUUAGCCUCCUCCUAGUAAAAGACACUAAGUCAACAAAAAAUCCACACGCGUGAAUAAAAAUCCAGCUACCCUAGGGAUAACAGGCUAAUCCUCCUCGAGAGCUCAAAUUGACAGGAGGGCUUGGCACCUCGAUGUUGGCUUAAGGUCCCUUCUAAGUGCAGCAGCUUAGACAGUGGGUUUGUUCAACCUUUAAAA